UACGUAGGGGCCAAGCGUUGUCCGGAUUUAUUGGGCGUAAAGAGCUCGUAGGCGGUUGGGUAAGUCAGGUGUGAAAACUCCAGGCUCAACUUGGAGAUGCCACCCGAUACUGCUCUGACUUGAGUUCGGUAGGGGAGUGGGGAAUUCCUGGUGUAGCGGUGAAAUGCGCAGAUAUCAGGAGGAACACCGGUGGCGAAGGCGCCACUCUGGGCCGAAACUGACGCUGAGGAGCGAAAGCGUGGGUAGCAAACAGG
rnacentral:rRNA from 1 species